CAGAGGGGGCAAGCGUUGUUCGGAAUUACUGGGCGUAAAGGGCGCGUAGGCGGCCUUCUAAGUCGAACGUGAAAUCCCCGGGCCAACCCGGGAACUGCGUCCGAUACUGGAAGGCUUGAAUCCGGGAGAGGGAUGUGGAAUUCCAGGUGUAGCGGUGAAAUGCGUAGAUAUCUGGAGGAACACCGGUGGCGAAGGCGACAUCCUGGACCGGUAUUGACGCUGAGGCGCGAAAGCCAGGGGAGCAAACGGGAUUAGAUACCCCGGUAGUCCUGGCCCUAAACGAUGAAUGCUUGGUGUGGCGGGUAUCGAUCCCUGCCGUGCCGAAGCUAACGCAUUAAGCAUUCCGCCUGGGGAGUACGGUCGCAAGGCUG
rnacentral:rRNA from 1 species